UACGUAGGUGGCAAGCGUUACUCGGAAUCACUAGGCGUAAAGCGCAGGUAGGAGGUUUGGUAAGUCUGUUGUGAAAGCUCCCGGCUUAACUGGGAGAGGUCAACGGAAACUACUAGGCUAGAGUGCGGUAGAGGUAGCUGGAAUUCCCGGUGUAGCGGUGAAAUGCGUAGAUAUCGGGAGGAAUACCUAUGGCGAAGGCAGCUCGCUGGGACGUGACUGACGCUGAGACGCGAAAGCGUGGGGAGCAAACAGG
rnacentral:rRNA from 1 species